AGUGAACGCUGGCGGUAGGCCUAACACAUGCAAGUCGAACGGCAACACAGUAAGAGCUUGCUCUUACGGGGGGCGAGUGGCGGACGUGAGAGGAAUAUAUCCGACUCUACUUUUUCGGGGGGGAUAACGUAGGGAAAGUUACGCUCAGACCGCAGACGACCCUCGAUGGAAAGCAGGGGAUCUUCUCAGCUUGCGCGGUUGAAUUCGCCGAUGACGGAUUAGUUGGUUGGCGGGUUAAAGGCCCACCAAGGCGACGAUCCGUAGCUGGUCUGAGAGGAUGGUAAGCCACACUGGAGCGGAGACACGGUCCAGACUACUGAGGGAGGGAGCAGUGGGGAAUAUGAGACAGAGGGCGCAAGUCUGGUCCAGCGAUAGCGCGUGGGUGAAGAAGGCCUUCGGGUUGUAAAGCCCUUUUGUUGGGAAAGAAAAGCUGCCGGUUGAUACGCCGCUGUACUGACGGUACCCAGUGAAUAAGCACCGGCUAACUACGUG
rnacentral:rRNA from 1 species